CUGGCGGCAGGCUUAACACAUGCAAGUCGAGCGAAACGAUGAUAGCUUGCUAUCAGGCGUCGAGCGGCGGACGGGNNAGUAAUACUUAGGAAUCUACCUAGUAGUGGGGGAUAGCACGGGGAAACUCGUAUUAAUACCGCAUACGACCUACGGGAGAAAGGGGGCAGUUUACUGCUCUCGCUAUUAGAUGAGCCUAAGUCGGAUUAGCUAGAUGGUGGGGUAAAGGCCUACCAUGGCGACGAUCUGUAGCUGGUCUGAGAGGAUGAUCAGCCACACCGGGACUGAGACACGGCCCGGACUCCUACGGGAGGCAGCAGUGGGGAAUAUUGGACAAUGGGGGAAACCCUGAUCCAGCCAUGCCGCGUGUGUGAAGAAGGCCUUUUGGUUGUAAAGCACUUUAAGCAGUGAAGAAGACUCCAUGGUUAAUACCCAUGGACGAUGACAUUAGCUGCAGAAUAAGCACCGGCUAACUCUGUGCCAGCAGCCGCGGUAAUACAGAGGGUGCAAGCGUUAAUCGGAAUUACUGGGCGUAAAGGGAGCGUAGGUGGCUCUAUAAGUCAGAUGUGAAAUCCCCGGGCUUAACCUGGGAACUGCAUCUGAAACUGUAGAGCUAGAGUAUGUGAGAGGAAGGUAGAAUUCCAGGUGUAGCGGUGAAAUGCGUAGAGAUCUGGAGGAAUACCGAUGGCGAAGGCAGCCUUCUGGCAUAAUACUGACACUGAGGCUCGAA
rnacentral:rRNA from 1 species